AUGUUAAGUAUUAAAUUCCUUUGCAGAUACCCUGCGCAUAGAGUGACUGCACUGUGUUUGAAAAGUGUGAGGCUGGAGCUCCAGAAAUGUAGAACUGAACUGGCUCAGGGGAUCUCCGUACCAGACCUGUGAAGAGACCAGAGCAGCGCUGGGCUUUCCGCAGACCUCCUUCCCCUGGAAUGGAUUUGUGCUGAAUUACAGCAGCUUCUGGCUGCACAUAAAGUGGCCCAGUAUGACGCCCACUUGGAAGCCAGCAGGGGCUCAUCACUCAGCGCAAGGAGAGCGCCUCUGCACAAGGCAAGCUGCAGAAGUGCCUAUCGCCUGCAGGUUUUGUUUCUGAUCCUCUAAUCCAGU
rnacentral:lncRNA from 1 species